rnacentral:rRNA from 1 species
GAUGAACGCUAGCUACAGGCUUAACACAUGCAAGUCGAGGGGCAGCAUGAACUUAGCUUGCUAAGUUUGAUGGCGACCGGCGCACGGGUGAGUAACACGUAUCCAACCUUCCGUUUACUCAGGGAUAGCCUUUCGAAAGAAAGAUUAAUACCUGAUAGUAUGGUGAGAUUGCAUAAUAACACCAUUAAAGAUUUAUUGGUAAACGAUGGGGAUGCGUUCCAUUAGGUAGUAGGCGGGUAAGGCCCACCUAGCCUGCGAUGGAUAGGGGUUCUGAGAGGAAGGUCCCCCCANAUUGGAACUGAGACACGGUCCAAACUCCUACGGGAGCAGCAGUGAGGAAUAUUGGUCAAUGGGC